rnacentral:rRNA from 1 species
GACGAACCGUGCGAACGUUGUUCGGAAUCACUGGGCUUAAAGGGCGCGUAGGCGGGCCCGCAAGUCAGGGGUGAAAUCCCACGGCUCAACCGUGGAAGUGCCUUUGAUACUGCGGGUCUGGAGGGAGGUAGGGGCGUGCGGAACUUCCGGUGGAGCGGUGAAAUGCGUAGAUAUCGGGAGGAACACCAAUGGCGAAGGCAGCUCGCUGGGACGUGACUGACGCUGAGACGCGAAAGCGUGGGGAGCAAACAGG